CCAAAGUGCUGGGAUUACAGGCUUGAGCCACCGCUCCUGGCAGACCACUAACUUUUGCUGAGCCUCUCCUGCAUUCUGUUUUCUUCACAUCAGGCACCGGGCAGCUCCUGGUGGUCACUCCACUCCCUUUGAGACCAUGCAUCCCACCAAAAAAGCCCUGGGCUUGCACAUACAGAAGGGAGCCCUCCUUCCGUCACCAGAGCUCCAAGCCGUCACUCUUCCCUGCUUCUGCUCCUGAGGCUGGAACCACAGUGUCAUGUAACGCUGGCCAUGGAGGUGCAGUGUGGUCAACACAGAGCUGCCCUUGAGGAGGUCACAGUUUAGAGAAACCACUCACAUGUCCUUCCACAAAGGACUGCAUCAUACGAAGGGAAAAUUGAUAUAAUAAUGUUAUUAUGCAUAAUUUGAUCUUUUGAAA